CACAGCCGCGGGAAUACGUAGGGUGCAAGCGUUAAUCGGAAUUACUGGGCGUAAAGCGUGCGCAGGCGGUUAUAUAAGACAGAUGUGAAAUCCCCGGGCUCAACCUGGGAACUGCAUUUGUGACUGUAUAGCUAGAGUACGGCAGAGGGGGAUGGAAUUCCGCGUGUAGCAGUGAAAUGCGUAGAUAUGCGGAGGAACACCGAUGGCGAAGGCAAUCCCCUGGGCCUGUACUGACGCUCAUGCACGAAAGCGUGGGGAGCAAACAGGAUUAGAUACCCCCGUAGUCCCUGUCUCUUAUACA
rnacentral:rRNA from 1 species